UAGCGUAGGGUGCGAGCGUUGUCCGGAAUUACUGGGCGUAAAGAGCUCGUAGGUGGUUUGUCGCGUUGUUCGUGAAAACUCACAGCUCAACUGUGGGCGUGCGGGCGAUACGGGCAGACUUGAGUACUGCAGGGGAGACUGGAAUUCCUGGUGUAGCGGUGGAAUGCGCAGAUAUCAGGAGGAACACCGGUGGCGAAGGCGGGUCUCUGGGGCAGUAACUGACGCUGAGGAGCGAAAGCGUGGGGAGCGAACAGG
rnacentral:rRNA from 1 species